CCUUCAAACAUAGAGUGGCUAUCACUACAGAUUUGUGGACAUCGGGCUAUCAAAAGAGAGGUUAUAUGGCUGUUACCGCACACUAUAUAGAUGAUUCUUGGAAUCUAAAGAGUUUUCUUAUGAGGUUUGCUUAUGUGCCAUGUCCACAUUCAGCUGAGGUUAUAUUUGAAACCUUGUAUGAGUGUCUUGUUGAAUGGCACCUUGAGAGGAAGAUCUCCACCGUCACUUUGGACAACUGCACAUCAAAUGACAAGGCUAUGGUUAUAUUGCCAGAUAAGUUGGAUACAAGCUCUCUCAUGUUGGAUGGUCAAUUACUGCAUAUGCGUUGUGCUGCUCACAUAUUAAACUUAAUUGUAAAAGAUGGAAUGAGUGUCUUAGAGCAAGGUAUAGAGAGGUUGCGGGAUAGUGUUGCAUUUUGGUCAGCCACACCUAAAAGGCAUGAAAAGUUUGAAAAGAUGGCAAAAACUUUGAACAUAGGGUAUAACAAAAGGUUAACUCUUGAUUGUAAGACUAGAUGGAAUUCAACUUAUAUCAUGAUUAGCAUUGCACUACAAUACAUAGAGAUAUUUGAAAAAUUAAAGGCACGUG